rnacentral:rRNA from 1 species
CAGCAGCCGCGGAAAUACAGAGGGUGCGAGCGUUAAUCGGAUUUACUGGGCGUAAAGCGUGCGUAGGCGGCUUUUUAAGUCGGAUGUGAAAUCCCUGAGCUUAACUUAGGAAUUGCAUUCGAUACUGGGAAGCUAGAGUAUGGGAGAGGAUGGUAGAAUUCCAGGUGUAGCGGUGAAAUGCGUAGAGAUCUGGAGGAAUACCGAUGGCGAAGGCAGCCAUCUGGCCUAAUACUGACGCUGAGGUACGAAAGCAUGGGGAGCAAACAGGAUUAGAUACCCCUGUAGUCCCUGUCUCUUAUAA